rnacentral:rRNA from 1 species
AGAGUUGAUCCUGGCUCAGGAUGAACGCUGGCGGCGUGCUUAACACAUGCAAGUCGAACGGAGAACCCCGGAACGAGUUUCGGACAAGGUGAAGGGAAUUCUUAGGUGGCGGACGGGUGAGUAACGCGUGAGGAACCUGCCUUGGAGAGGGGAAUAACACAGAGAAAUUUUGUGCUAAUACCGGCAUAAAGCAGUUGGGUCGCAUGGCUCUGACUGCCAAAGAUUUAUCGCUCUGAGAUGGCCUCGCGUCUGGAUUAGCUGGUUGGCGGGGUAACGGCCCACCAAGGCGACGAUCAGUAGCCGGACUGAGAGGUUGGCCGGCCACAUUGGGACUGAGACACGGCCCAGACUCCUACGGGAGGCAGCAGUGGGGAAUAUUGGGCAAUGGGCGCAAGCCCUGACCCAGCAACGCCGCGUGAAGGAAGAAGGCUUUCGGGUUGUAAACUUCUUUUAUGAGGACGAAGAAAGUGACGGUACCUCAUGAAUAAGCUCCGGCUAACUACGUGCCAGCCGCCGC